GAUGAGAGCGGCUGACGGCUAGGGCUCCCCCAUAGGGGCGACCUUCGAAUGGCCCGCCUCAGUCGCCCGGCGGCGGCUGCCAUCGAUACCGCCAUCUUAACUCGGGGCAGUGACUUCACGGGGUCAAAGGGCACCGCGGAGAUAGACGGUGACUUGGAAAGGAAGCCGCGCGGUUUUUACAGCGGUCCCUGGCGGUAGGAGGACUCAAGGCAGCCUCUACUGCCCAGGUUACAGUUGGAGUUGCAGUGAACAGACAUGGAUUCAACUUCAUGUGUCUGCGCGUGUGUAUGUUUGUGUUUCUGGGCCGAGGGAAGAAGGCAGAGUGCCAAGAGAGGGAAGCCAAGUGGUUCUUUUAGGAUUGCGAUGUAUCUGUUCUGAUUUGCCACUGUCCUCGGAUGAGGAAGUGAAGCUUAAGGUCUUCAGUUUCUCAGGAUAGAUAUGCAUGGAGAGAACUCACCAGACUGGGAAGUUACUGACCUGGGAACUUUUC